rnacentral:rRNA from 1 species
GUUGGGCUGUUCGCCCAUUAAAGUGGUACGCGAGCUGGGUUCAGAACGUCGUGAGACAGUUCGGUCCCUAUCCGUCGCAGGCGUAGGAAAUUUGAGAAGACCUGUCCUUAGUACGAGAGGACCGGGAUGGACGUACCUCUGGUGUACCAGUUGUUCUGCCAAGGGCAUGGCUGGGUAGCUAUGUACGGAAUGGAUAAGCGCUGAAAGCAUCUAAGCGCGAAGCCAACUUCAAGAUAAGAUUUCCCACCGCAAGGGUAAGACCCCAGAAAGACUAUCUGGUUGAUAGGUCGAAGGUGUAAGUGCAGCAAUGUAUUUAGCUUAUCGAUACUAAUAGGUCGAGGACUUGACCAAAUU